UGCGAUGCUAGCAGUGUUUGAGACCUGCUACAAGCAGCUACUGCCCGGAUUAUGCUAAACUGUCUGAUUCCAUUCAGUGCAAGUCAUCAGAAUAAGCUAUCACAAUGGCCCGAUCAUUAUGUGGGAAGAAAUGAAGCAGGUAGCAAGCGGAGAACAUGUUUUCUGGGAUCAAUUCCAUGAUGAGGCCUGGACUGCUUGCAGUCUCUACACAUGGGUGGGUCAGUGUGACAGCUAUUUCAUGGCUUGAUUCAACCCUCACCACAGAACCAUUGGUCAAAGUCUGGAAAAGCUGGAAAGCCUCAAGCCUCAAUGUCUCUUCUUCAUUGUCCGUAUCUGUUUUCUUGAAUAUGGUGAUAUCAUUUUCAUUGCCCACUGCAUUGAUAAUGUAGCUUGAAUGAGCUGUAUCUCAUGGAACCAGUGGCUGUCUUAGACUGGUGGAAUGAUGCCAGUAACUCUGUGUAAUUCAGGGAAGGGAUCGAAUAGUUUGUACUGAGAUUUACAGUGGGUUGAACAACAUUUGUCUGGACACUGCCUUCCCGCCGACUGAAAGAAACCACUGUGAUAUUUUUAUCACUGGUAAUUCGGACUGAUUUAUUGGAGUGAUUAAGUUAAUUUACUUCAAAACUCCCAUGAAUGUUCACAGUGUUGGUCUCCCCUGACUGCUGGAUAUUUCUUGGAUUUUGUCAUUGUAGAUGACUGUGGCGUGGGGACGUGGUCAUGUGUUUGUCUGAGGGAGAGAGAGGGAGAGCGGUAAGGCUUGUCACCUGGUUCAUAAUUAACCCUAACACCUGUCUCCUGUUAUAGUGAUGCGGAGGGAGACAUAAAAGCCACGCCGAGUGUCCAAAGAACAUACUGUGAGUGUUUAAGCAUGUGUUAAAUGCAUAAAAUACUGUGAAUGAUAUAAGAAUGUAUUGGGGUGAUGUAUGCUGAUGCAUAUGGGUAAGCUAAUGUUGUUUGUAUUUUCUGUUGACAUUAGCCUCUACUGUAUUUUAUUGUAUCUAAUUUCAUUGUAAUUUUUUAUUAUUCGACUGUGCUUUUUCAUCCGAUAUGGGCAGCAUCUUGCUGGGGGCGGAAGUAGGCACCCACACAGACAAGUGGGCGCCCUGAAGUCCACCAGCCAUCUCAUCUCCAGCCACCCUCCAGUCAACAGUUUUCAUAGUUGUCAUAUCUGUGAUGGAAUCAGUUUUUGUAUUGUGCAAUAUCAAUAAUUUAGGCCAUAAAUUAUUAACAUAGAAGACUUUCUAUUUAAAAAAUUACAUGGUAAUUCAUUCUAAGGAGACUACAAGAAGUGCCACAAACUGGAGCGCAUAAACGUUGGCAUAUUUUUAUUAUUGUGAAAGAGAAUAAAGAGUACAUUUGUUCUCAAUUAAAAAUGCACAAAUAAUAAUAAAUAUGAUGAUAACACUAAUGAUAACAAUAAAAAUUAACAACUACAUUUAAAGCAUAUUAACAAAUCAUAAAUAUCAAUUUCUAGAUAGUUUUGUUAAAUAAGUUAAAUAAAUGGUUAUGAAAUUAGAUUUCUCAUUUAAAAUCAUGAUUAAACUUUUGUGAUGUAGACAAAUUUUAUCAACUUAAAAAAGUUUAGAAAAAGAGAAAUAUGGACAGAACUAUGGCUUAAAUGUCCAAAGCAAUAAAUUCAAAGGUUAUAUCAUUAAAGUAUUUGGCAUUUUUGUAGCAGACAGGCCUUUUUUUAGAGCAACAGCGUACUCUCUUCCAGGACGAAGUCAUUGUGCCAUCGAGUGACACAGAAGCACACAUAGCAUUAUAAAGCUCAUCUGGUUGUCCAUCAGCCCAUUUUGUAUAGCUCACGUUGUAAACGCUCUCAUAGGCGAUCUGCCAGUACCACUCUAAUGUGAACAGGCUGCGUCGCAGUCCGAUCCAGAUCUUCCCCUGAAUGCCUUGUUUUUGCAGCCACUUGGUCAUCUCGUCAUGGGCCAUCUUAUUGGUUGGGCUGACCAUUUGGUAUGUUCUAUUCAAGCAGUAUUGAUGGGACUCAGACCAGGUUAUGAGAUCUCUACCCACAUGAAACUCUGCAGUUUCUGCCACACAGCCAUCAUUGUCUGUGUGCACACAAACAUACAAUUACACAUUUAUUCACUGUGAAUUUUUAUAUUUUUAUCUAACUUCAAGAUGAUAGGCCUAAACAGUGGACCUAAAAAUAAUUUAGACAUUUAAAGAAAGAUAGCACAACCAAACUGUUCUAAAACAAAAGGUUACAAAUUAUUAAAAAAAAAUAGAUAUACUGUAUACAGUUCAAAAUGAAGUCAAAAGUAUUAAGACUCUUUCUGUUUGUUAAACUUAGUGGAACAUCUGUAUGUAGUUAAAGAAAAAGUUCUUCCAAAAAUUUUAAUUAAAAAAUGAUCAUGCCAUCCCAGAUGUGAUUGACUUUCUUACUUUUGCAGAAUACAUAUAGAGAUGUUUUGAAAUAUAUCUCAGCUCUGUGGGUCCAUACAAUGCAUGUGAAUGGUGACCAACAUUUGAAAGCUCCAAAAAGCACAUAAAGGCAGCAUAAAAGUAAUCCACACGACUUCAGUGGUUUAUUCUAUGUUUUCUGAUGUGAUGUUACUAUGUUACUGAAUAAGUAUUAGAUGUGAACAGACCGAAAUAUAACUCCCUUUUCACUAUAAAUCUUGACAUCAGUAGUCUCCUUGGCAAUCUUGAUUUCUGCACAUGCGUCAAGCACUAGGAAGUGUAAUCGAGCUUGAAAUCUUGUUUGUGCCUAGAGACUGCGAUGGCAUGAUAUACAGUGAAAAUUUUGUUUUGGUUGGUUCUCACCCCAAAAAUUAUAGGAUCUAUUCAGAAGACAUGGAUUCAUAGUCUGAAGGAUUACAUUUAUGUUGCCUUUAUGUGCUUUUUGGAGCUUCAAAGUUUUGUUCACAUUCACUUAUUUGUGUUAAACUAUCUAGAGGUCAUGGUUUAUUUUUCAAUAAUUAAUAUAUAUGUUUAUAUAUUUAUAAUUUAAUUUAUGAUCUAAUCAGUAGUGGUAUUUUUCCACCUGUUAUCAUAGAGUGAUUUUUAAGUCACUGCAAAAGGGCCGAUGAAUGAUAUUCUUCUGACCGCUUUGUAAUUUUGAAUUGAUUCUAUUUUCAUUUCAUUUGAAGCGUAAUUUGAAAUUAUUUUGGAUACAUUUUUUAGUGUUUCAAUAAAUGAAUUUAAUUGUUUAAAAUGAAAAUUGACCAGUAUAUGUAAA